rnacentral:rRNA from 1 species
UCUCCUGGAAAACGGGUGGUAAUGCCGGAUGCUCCGGUUGGAUGCAUGUCCUUCCGGGAAAGAUUCUAUCGGUAUGGGAUGGGGUCGCGUCCUAUCAGCUUGAUGGCGGGGUAACGGCCCACCAUGGCUUCGACGGGUAGCCGGCCUGAGAGGGCGACCGGCCACAUUGGGACUGAGAUACGGCCCAGACUCCUACGGGAGGCAGCAGUGGGGAAUAUUGCACAAUGGGCGCAAGCCUGAUGCAGCGACGCCGCGUGCGGGAUGGAGGCCUUCGGGUUGUAAACCGCUUUUGAUCGGGAGCAAGCCCUUCGGGGUGAGUGUACCUUUCGAAUAAGCACCGGCUAACUACGUGCCAGCAGCCGCGGUAAUACGUAGGGUGCAAGCGUUAUCCGGAAUUAUUGGGCGUAAAGGGCUCGUAGGCGGUUCGUCGCGUCCGGUGUGAAAGCCCAUCGCUUAACGGUGGGUCUGCGCCGGGUACGGGCGGGCUGGAGUGCGGUAGGGGAGACUGGAAUUCCCGGUGUAACGGUGGAAUGUGUAGAUAUCGGAAAGAACACC